UUUAUUUUACGAGUGGGGAAGAGAUUGUAUCAGAUUCGUAUCAGAUUCGGUAUCGGCAGAUACUAAAGGUUGGAGGAUCGGAAUCCGAUCGGACACGGAAAAGUGGUAUCGUCCCAUCCCUAGUGUUUAAAGUAGAGGUGUUUGGAGCCUAUCAAACAGAACUGGUCUCAGGUUAUCAGGAUGUCUGCUUCUUAUUGUAUCGUCUGUUUCCACUGUUUUCUAAUUUGCAAAGAAUCUUAUUGUACAAAACAUCCAGGUUUGUCAUCGUAAGUGCGAUUACAGUCCAAAGUUGAUGACGGUCCAAAAUGAAAGUUGCCUGUCGUGGGUUUGUGCGCCCUCAGCAGCUGUCGUAUGUGCACAAGCCAAAGGUGAUGACGCUCCACUGUGUAACACCACUGCACGGCCCGGAGUGGAGCCAAUGUUUGUGGUUACAACAUUUCCGACAGAGUGAUACAUCCCUUUUCUUGCGAUUCAUGCCACGUCACUCUCAUUGUCAUGUCUGUCAUUUAUGCCUCUAAACUUUAUAGUUUCAACCAAGAUCUUAGGUGUUUGAAUCAACAAUUUUAGUUAAAAAAAAUUAAUGUGUGCACAAUUUAUCAAACUGCAGCUUGUUUCAAUGUAGCCAAUGUAUUCAUUUCCCAUCACAUUUUCGGCUAAAUAUAACUAUCACAUACAGGACUUUUUAAUAAUCAGUAUCAAAGGACUUGGAUCUAUGUGUUUGUAGUAAUUAUUUUGUGAUCAUGGAGAUGGAGGCUAAAAUAACUGUGGUCAAGGUCAAAUUUCCAGAGUUGUAAAUUCCUGCUCUGUGGGCCUAUGAACUGCUGUGCAGUGUGUUUUUGCGUCAGCUCACUCUUCAGACUCAUGGACGUGCUCAACAAACCGGACCCACUGGAUCGAGGGCACAGGUCUGGUUGCGGAAGUGAGAAGGGACGCGAUGAAUCCUGAAAGUUCUUCGGCCGACAAUGAGGACUGUGGAUUGUGUCGCUCCACUGUUAGGAAGGAAAUCUCUCAAUGGUCGGCACAAAGGGGAGGACCUUUGACGGCAGCCGCACUCUUGGAGAAAAUAUGCAUCAAACAUUCAGACUGACUGAACAGGCUUCGGAAUAACUAACAUGCAUUUUCGGCAAUGCAGUCUUCAGUUAUUACAGUCAAAUCCAGAGAGGACAGUAGGACAGAGGGGUUACCUGUGGUGAACAGCACGAUGGCCUUGAUGCAGCUGUACUCCGCCGAGUCCACGUGCAGCACCUUGAGCUUCUCCACCUGCUCCUGGAAGACCCGGAUGUGGUCCAUGAAGGCCACCACCCGGUCCGCGGACAUC